GAGUUUGAUCCUGGCUCAGAACGAACGCUGGCGGCAUGCUUAACACAUGCAAGUUGAACGCAGGAUAGGACUUCGGUUCUAUUGCUGAGUAGCAAACGGGUGAGUAACGCGUGGGAAUCUACCUUUUUGUGGGGGAUAACUGAGGGAAACUUCAGCUAAUACCGCAUAAGCUCUACGGAGGAAAGGCUUCGGCCGCAAGAAGAGGAGCCCGCGUCAGAUUAGGUAGUUGGUAGGGUAAAAGCCUACCAAGCCAAUGAUCUGUAGCUGGUCUGAGAGGAUGAUCAGCCACACUGGGACUGAGACACGGCCCAGACUCCUACGGGAGGCAGCAGUGGGGAAUAUUGGACAAUGGGCGAAAGCCUGAUCCAGCAAUGCCGCGUGAGUGAUGAAGGCCUUCGGGUCGUAAAGCUCUUUUACCAGGGAUGAUAAUGACAGUACCUGGAGAAUAAGCUCCGGCUAACUCCGUGCCAGCAGCCGCGGUA
rnacentral:rRNA from 1 species